GAAACUUACAGGUGAGCACGGAAGCACCCGAAAUCUCUCCAAUCGGAACUUCCACAAAGUAGACUGGAAACCGAUCCAAAAAGAGAUCCGCAGACAGGACUGUCCGAAAUAUCUCUCCACACCAGACAUUGGCAUGAAACUAGAAUAUUUCAUGUCUGUUAUGCAAGCCAUAUGCCAGAAAUAUGUUCCAGAGCACAAGGCCACAACAAAUUGGAACAAGAUUCCAAAGGAGA